AAGCACUCCAGGUACCUGGAAGGAAGCACUGUUCCUGCUCGUUAGGGCUGCACCAGCAGCAGGGAUUGGAGCAGGAAGAUUCUAAGGGUUACCACAGGUGGAAAAUCAGAGACUCCAGUUACAUUAUGUUACUGCAUAUGAUUUGGAAAGCAGCCUCAGAAUCUGCAAAAUUCAAGGUCCUUCCAGAAGUUUGAAGCCAGAAGGAAACAAUAAGAUCUGCAUUAUACAAGUCCUACAAUGUCUCAGAUGAACUUUUGCAUCUGUGUGACACACCAAUACUGCUUGUCCAGUGUCCCAAGCUGCCCCAUUACUGCAUUUCACUAAAGGAACCUCAAGUGGGAAUAAGGCCAGGACACAAUGCUAAUUUUGUAGGCUUGUUUCCAAACAGUCUUCUCCCAGCAGCACCUUGCCUGUUUUUCUGUGCCACAGGGGGAAGUGUGUGUCUGCUGGUGGGUGCAGGCUGGUGUGUGACUGGCACGUGCCGGGGCACUGAGGCACAUGGCUGGGCUGGCAUCAAGCCCACUUCUCUACAGCAGGACUGACUUGAGAAAUAGGCAGUUAAAAAUGAGUUUGUGAAUCCUGGCAUUGGUAAAUGACCCAAAUUUGUCCAUUCAUCUUUUAACAGAUAUGUAUUUUACUGUCCUGUAGGAAAACUCCGUCAGGCAACGGAAAGAUUUUCCCCAAAGAAAUGCAGCCUGCUGUAUAUUUUUUCUUUUAUCCUUGGAAUUCAGCUGGCAUUAAAUAACAGCAUAUUUAUAUUACUCUGCUUUUAUUUCUUUGUUUCUAGUUCUGGAAAGUGUCCUUACCUAGCAAACUAUUUGAGAAAAGGCUUCUUACAGCUCUUUGUUAGGACAAAGCUGCUGGUAUAUCUGCACAAUUGCAGUGAGAUUUGGAUGCGUGUGAGCUGCACAAUUAGCAAAGCCACAUCCUAUAAAAGAAAUUAG